rnacentral:tRNA from 1 species
AAAGGAAAUAGUUUAAUAAAAAUUUAAAUUUGUCAAAUUUAAGAUGUUUAGUCAUUUAAGCUUUUCUUA